CACGUAGGGUGCGAGCGUUGUCCGGAAUUAUUGGGCGUAAAGAGCUCGUAGGCGGUGUGUCGCGUCGGCCGUGAAAACCUGCAGCUUAACUGUGGGCGUGCGGUCGAUACGGGCAUCACUGGAGUUCGGCAGGGGAGACUGGAAUUCCCGGUGUAGUGGUGAAAUGCGUAGAUAUCGGGAGGAACACCAGUGGCGAAGGCGACUACCUGGCCUGUUCUUGACGCUGAGGCGCGAAAGCCAGGGGAGCAAACGGG
rnacentral:rRNA from 1 species